UAACUCUGGCGGCGUGCCUAAUACAUGCAAGUCGAGCGAACAGAAGGGAGCUUGCUCCCGGAUGUUAGCGGCGGACGGGUGAGUAACACGUGGGUAACCUGCCUGUAAGACUGGGAUAACUCCGGGAAACCGGAGCUAAUACCGGAUAGUUCCUUGAACCGCAUGGUUCAAGGAUGAAAGACGGUUUCGGCUGUCACUUACAGAUGGACCCGCGGCGCAUUAGCUAGUUGGUGGGGUAAUGGCUCACCAAGGCGACGAUGCGUAGCCGACCUGAGAGGGUGAUCGGCCACACUGGGACUGAGACACGGCCCAGACUCCUACGGGAGGCAGCAGUAGGGAAUCUUCCGCAAUGGACGAAAGUCUGACGGAGCAACGCCGCGUGAGUGAUGAAGGUUUUCGGAUCGUAAAGCUCUGUUGUUAGGGAAGAACAAGUGCGAGAGUAACUGCUCGCACCUUGACGGUACCUAACCAGAAAGCCACGGCUAACUACGUGCCAGCAGCCGCGGUAAUACGUAGGUGGCAAGCGUUGUCCGGAAUUAUUGGGCCUAAAGGGCUCGCAGGCGGUUUCUUAAGUCU
rnacentral:rRNA from 1 species